UACGUAUGGUGCAAGCGUUAUCCGGAUUUACUGGGUGUAAAGGGAGCGUAGACGGCAUGGCAAGCCAGAUGUGAAAGGUAUGGGCUCAACCCGUAAACUGCAUUUGGAACUGUCAGGCUAGAGUGUCGGAGAGGUAAGUGGAAUUCCUAGUGUAGCGGUGAAAUGCGUAGAUAUUAGGAGGAACACCGGUGGCGAAGGCGGCUUACUGGACGAUAACUGACGUUGAGGCUCGAAAGCGUGGGGAGCAAAC
rnacentral:rRNA from 1 species